rnacentral:rRNA from 1 species
GACGAACGCUGGCGGCGUGCCUAACACAUGCAAGUCGAACGGAGUAAAGCGCUGAUUUGAGAUUAGCUUGCUAAUGGAUUUUCUUGUUUUACUUAGUGGCGGACGGGUGAGUAACGCGUGAGGAACCUGCCCUCCAGAGGGGGACAACAGUUGGAAACGACUGCUAAUACCGCAUGAAGUAUCUCUGGGACAUCCCUAAGAUACCAAAGGAGCAAUCCGCUGAAGGAUGGCCUCGCGUCCGAUUAGAUAGUUGGUGGGGUAACGGCCCACCAAGUCGACGAUCGGUAGCCGGACUGAGAGGUUGAACGGCCACAUUGGGACUGAGACACGGCCCAGACUCCUACGGGAGGCAGCAGUGGGGGAUAUUGCACAAUGGGGGAAACCCUGAUGCAGCAACGCCGCGUGAAGGAAGAAGGUCUUCGGAUUGUAAACUUCUGUUUUUUAGUGUAAGAAACAAAUGACGGUAGCUAAAGAGGAAGCCACGGCUAACUACGUG